GACCAACUCCAUAUUAAUGCCCAUGUUUUUGGAAUGAGAUGUUUGACGAGCAGUUGUCCACAUACUUUUGGUCAUGUAGUGUAUGUGCUUGGGUGGGUUACUUUGGGAAGGAAUGGAGAGAGGUAGUUUGAGACAUUGCAGUUUAUAUUGUGGAAUAAAAACAUGUUCUCCUAAUAUCCAAGGGACGGUUUUCAUCUUUUAAUUUGGUCCACUAGGUGUCGUAAUAUCAACACUUGUGUUGUACCACUAUCCUAUAAGCAGGUUUCUUGCGUGAUGAAUGCAUAAGGAUUAUUGGUGUUAGUCAAAAGAACCUUGAAUUAAAUGGCCAUAAUAGGCUACAAAAGUAUAAAUCUCUUGAUGACAUCAUGCACAAAUUUAUAAUAGCUCCAUACAAAAUAUAGAUGAUUUAAUAGCUAUCAAUUUGCAUUUUUCCUUGUGUUGUCAUAUGGCUCCACUUCAGCUCUAGUGCGCUGAUCUCAAAUUGGGCAUUGAGCGAAACAGUUAUUCGAGAGGCGGCCCAGGCAGUCCUCCUGAUAGUUUGGACAAGGAGAUUGUACUGACCUAUUUCAAUUGCACUAAAAUACCAUUUCAAAGAGAGACUGGAGAGGUCAAUGAACCUGAGAUUAGUGUUCCAAUAAAACUAUUAUUAUCAAAGGACUUUUGGAGACCGGACGUACCAAUUACGCACCGGUUUGCGUAACAGGACAUUUUCGUGGGAAAUAAUGUGGAAAGUGCAGAAUCAAUGCCCCGUGGAGAGCGAGGAUGAUUCCGAUAUUGACAAACUGUUAGCAGCUCUGACAUCCGCCGAGGUGGAAGAGCUGCAGCGCGAACUGACCGUUAUUGACCCGGAUCCAACUGUGUCAGUCGGGCUCCGGCAGAGGAACCAGACAGACAAGCAGCCGUCAAUUAAAUACAACAGGGGAGCGAUGCUUGACUACUGUGAGCGCGAAACCAAGACACUCAUUCAAAGGGAGCUGUCCUUUGAGAGACCCAGAGUAUGUUGACACUCGGCUGUUGGAUAAAGGCUCCAACAGGUUGCAAGAGCCAACAACUGACAGAGUGAAAUGGAAACUCCUGAAGAAGAUGGGGAAGAGCUGUGCUAGUUUCUUCUACUUCAAGUCAGAUGACCCGGAUGACCAGGAUGUCAUAGACCUAAACUUCUCUGCUGUGGAGACCACUAAGGAGGACAUAUCCAAGGACAAAGAGGAAAAACCAGAGAGCAAGAACUUGAAGGGUGAGGGAGGGAGUAGAGAGGAAAAUGAGGAAAGAGCACAUAGUAGGUUAGGAGGAGAUAAGGACAAAGACAGUGAAAAAAAAGGAAGAUAAGAUUGUUGAAAAUAGCAGUGAAGUACAGAUUAAAGUAAAGGACAAGUGUAGUAACAAACCCUUCACCUUAUCUCAAAAUUGCAAACAAAAAAACAGGAUAUGAAAGAAAAGGAGGAAAAAAACAGAACAAAGACAGACUCUAAAACCAAAGACCUGAUUUCAAAGCUUCGAGGGCAAGCUGAGAAAGACUAUAGUAAGGAGAAAGAUAAGAAAGAGAACUCUCAAAAAAUGAAGGAUAGCAAGAUAAGAGGAAUGUUCUCUAAAGUAGAGGAAAAGCAAAAAGAACUCAGAGGUACUGAGACAAAGAAAAAGAGGAAUAAUGAGAAGGACAAAGAGAGAGAACACCCAAUCCCUCAAGAAACCAAGUAGUGUCCAGGAUAAGACAGAGAGACAGUGAAAAGGAGACAGAAAGGAAUCCUAGUAAAUACAGUAAGGUCAACAAUGUAAACCUAGAGAACAGCAGUAGGGAUGAACGCCUGGCUGGUGAAGUCAUGGAGGGAGACGAGGAGGCCAGCAUGUUUGAUGAGCUCCUUGAGCAGGUCAGAAAAGAUUACCCUUUAAUGACGGAGCUCAAUGUCAACAACUCAGAUGUCAUCAAGACCCACACUCUCAUCCAAUUUGUAGAAGCACUACAACGCAACACACGUCAAGAUGUUUGCUUUAGCCAACACCUGUGCUGACGACCAUGAGGCUUAUGCCAUUGCCGGAACUCUGCGGAACAACACGUCUCUGACCAGCGUAAUCCUUGACUCCAACCACCUCACUGGCAAGGGAAUUUUGGCCGUAGUACAUGCCUUAGAGAAAAAUAUAACCGUCAAUGAGCUGCGCUUCCACAACCAGCGGCACAUCUGUGGAGACAAGACAGAGACGGAGAUGGCCAAUGCGUUGAGAAACAACACCAGGUUGAUGAAGCUGGGCUACGGCUUUGAGCUGGCCGGCCCAAGGAUGACCAUGAACGACAUCCUGAGUCGGAACAUGGACUUGCAGCGUAUGAUCUCUGUAAUUGCAAACAAAGGUUGAUGUUCCAGAGCUGCUUCAGUAAUGGGCAGGGGAUCACAGGAAGAAGAAGUUGGACUUGAUACAGAAACAGAACUGCAUUUGUCUUAUAGUAGUACCUGGGGUGAAGCCUUGCUUCCGUUGUUGCUGCUGAGAUAUGGAGAGAUAUCUAAUGCAGUGGGUACUGUGAGUCAGAAGGUGGUGUUGGUGAAACCACCUUAGGCUACACUGUUAGGCCUGUUGACUUCCGUCUCCCUCAGUUGAAUCUCUCCCUCCUUUUCUCCUUAGAUGUUCAUAUUUGGUCAUUGCAUUGAAGACACAGUAGGACGUAAGAAUCAUUUCUAAUUAUUUUUUAAUUACUGGAUGAUGGUCAGUUGGAUGUUCUGCUCUUUCAUGUGAGGCUUUGUCCAGCUAAGAGGUGGGGAGAAUGGGGGAGUUGCACAGCGGAAACAGAAAAGUUCAAAUUGGAAAACAACUGAAAGGAAAGGCUUACACAUUGCAAGUCACCAUAUUUUUUGUAUUUUUAGACAGUUAAGUAGCCGUAAGAGGAAUGAACAAAGACAUUUUAAAAUGUUUUUUUAAGAUCAUUUUCCAGUGUCACGAUUAAAGGAUAUUAUAUACAGAACAAAACUAUAAACCCAACAUGCAACAAUUAAUUUUUUUAUUUUUUACAUUUUUAUUACCCCCUUUUCUCCUUAAUUUUGUGAUAUCCAAUUGGUAGUUAGUCUUGUCCCAUCGCUGCAACUCCCCUUCGGACUCAGAAGAGGACAAGGUCGAGAGAGUUGUGUGACAAACUGCACAUUUUAGAGUGUCCUUUUAUUGUUCCCAGCACAAGGUUUCAUUUCUGCACAACUUUUGA